CUACUUCAAUGGCGAUAAUGCAGUUAUUUGAUUAUAUUUCUUGUCAUGACCUGUCAGCUACUCCCUCCUCCCCCCUCCUUCCUGUGUUUGACGCGACCAGCUGGAUCCACUUACCUCAUCUACACCUGCCUUCAUAACUCCUCCAGGAUCAUCAGCCGGUGCCAGUUUGUUGUUCCUCCUAUGGACGUAAACCUUCUGGAUCCUCACCUGGUCGCAGUCCUCCAACGCUGCAGUCACGCCGCAUCAAGAAACCUCCAGCCAGCCGUCUCUCCUCGCCUUGGUUCAAGCUUCGCCUACGCCGUCUCUAGUAGCCUCCAGCCAGCCGCCUAGCCUCGUCUUGGUUCAAGCCUCGCCCCCGCCGCUGUUCCCCCUCAAGGAGAUCCCAGUUCAAGGUUCCUCCAGCCAGGCCACGCUCUCUCUUCCUGGAAGGAAGUCCUGUCAAGUUCUGGUUCUGAUUAAACCACUGAAAUCUUA